rnacentral:lncRNA from 1 species
UUGAUCUUAGCUACAUCUGUCCUUGGAAGUAUGCAACCAGUUUCAUCCACCACAUUCACUUUGUGCUACUUCUGUUCCUGGAAGUACCACCCGCAUAUACGCACUACACUCUGUGUAGUUUCUAUCCUGGAGACACGCAACUAUGUUGUUCCUACCCCUAGGAGUAUGCAUUCCUUCAUUCACCCACACACAUUCCACGUCCACUUAGAAAAUGUUCUACUCCUACACUAGGAGAAGACACCCAAAAAUAUUCAAUGUCUUAUUCUACUUAUCCAAUAAAGCCCCACUUGUCCCAGUUGAUACUCCCUAUUGUUGUCAUUGAAUUAAAAGAGAGAAAAAAGAAGAGAAAAAGAAUGAAAGAGGACAAAAGUCCUGAUGCAAAAGAAAAGAAAGACAACCAAAUCCUUGUUCUCAGAUUAGGGAGGCAUGCUAUCCCCAA